rnacentral:lncRNA from 1 species
AGCGACUCCAAACUCAGGUGAGGUUCAGCUGAUAAACGUCUGAUUAUUCACUAAUAAAACACUGCAGAUCUAAUCCACUUUCACUCUUUUCUCUCAUAUUGACUCAUAUUUGUGAUCUUAAUAUGUUUUUAAAGAUGUAUUGAAUGAAGUGUCUCCAGAUCUCCAACAUUCAGGUAAACUCCUGUGCUUCUGCGUUUCAAUCUUUAUCAUUUUUUUGAUCAGAUGUUUUCAUCAGUUUAUGUAUUCAGUCAUUCAGCUGAAUUUAUUGUCUCUCACGUGUACAGAUCAGUGGUGGUGGAUUCCUGCUCUUAUCAUUGUUCUUCUGGUUUUGAUCUGUUUCUUGCUGCGGAAAAGGAUCUUCAGGUGUUUUCAAAGGGAAGCACAGGUUAUCAGUCAGCAUGAAGCUCCAGACAACAGGGAUCUGGUGAUGGUCUGAUCUGAUCAUCCAGGAAUCGAAUCAGUGAAUCAGUUCAGUGAAUUGGUUGAAUUAAUCAGUUCAGUGAAUCAGUUCAGUGUCCAGAGGAUGAAGCAGAAGUCUAUUUCCAGACCCUUCACCGUCUCUGCUCCUCUCCGUCGACCUCCAGACGAUCUGCUGAGACUCUCAUGACACAAUCUCACAACUCUCACAAUCUGCAUUAUCAUCUUGAUCUCUAGCUUUCAAAUUCUGUCUUCAGUUUUAUGAGAUUCAAAGAGUAAAUGUGUUUUUGAUGCUCUUUAAUGUGUAGAGAAGCGAUGGUCUCUUUCUCUUUACUACUAGUUACAGAAGCAAAUAAACAUGAAUAAACAUCAGAACAACUCUCUGAAAUCACUUAUGAAUCACAGAAUCCAUCAGUCAGUGAUUCAACCGCAAGAAAGACUUCAAUAAACAGCAGCUUGAGAUCAAUAUACCANAGUUCAAUUUCAAAUGAUGCACCUUAAGGGAAUGAGUUAUAUUUGAAUUCUCUUUACUACUAGUUACAGAAGCAAAUAAACAUGAAUAAACAUCAGAACAACUCUCUGAAAUCACUUAUGAAUCACAGAAUCCAUCAGUCAGUGAUUCAACCGCAGAAAGACUUCAAUAAAACAGCAGCUUGAGAUCAAUAAUACCAACAGUUCAAUUUCUAAAUGAUGCACCUUAAUGGAAAUGAGUUAUAUUUGAAUUAAUUUGGGAGAAUAUUUAUCUCAAUUUUACUAAAUGCUAAUUUUACUUUAUUAAUUAAUAAACCAUGACUUUAAAAAUCCACAGUAUUUCAUUUUUGUGUACCUUUACACUGCAUUUCACCUCUGCUUUAUGUAUAUGAAUAUUAUUGGCUCUGUGAACUGCUGGAGAUUUGCUUCUGGGACUGAUUAAACAUCUCCUGAAUAAAUGCAAAUGUUUUGUUGUUUAUUCACUAGUUUCAUAUUACUUGGAAACUCUGAAAUUACUCACAAUAAUGACCGUAAAUAAGGUUUUCAUUCAUAAAGCUAAGUAAAAAAAAAAAAAUACAAAUAAAAUAAAGAACUGUAAAUAAAAAAAAUAAACAAAAAAAAAAAAAAAACCUGACUGAUGUUUUAGAGCAUUUUUGCAAAUAUAGAAAAAUAAAUAAAUAAAGGGUCUCAAUUAAAUAUGUGCAGUGUGAUGACUGCAAAAGACUGGUAAAAUAUGUUAACAUAAAGAUAUGACAAAGAUUUUUGGUCCCCAUUAUCUUUAAGGUGUCUAGUAUUAAUAUAUGAAUUCACAUAUAUUCAGUUUUGUUGAGUGUGGUCAUAGAAUGAGUAAACAUCUUGAUGGUCACAGUAGUGACCGCUGGGAUAACAGUGAAUUUUUUGAUGCAAUAUAAAUUCAGCUGCAGUUGUUAGUGAAGACUGCACUAAAAUGGUGCAAUGACAAUAUAUUACACUACAUUAAAGUUCAAAUGUUACUAAU